rnacentral:rRNA from 1 species
GGCUCAUUAAUCAGUUAUCGUUUAUUUGAUAGUACCUUACUACUUGGAUAACCGUGGAUUCUAGAGCUAAUACAUGCUUAAAAUCCCGACUGUUUGGAAGGGAGUAUUUAUUAGAUAAAAAUCAAUGUCUUCGGACUCUUUGAUGAUCAUAAUAACUUUUCGAAUCGCAUGGCCUUGUGCUGGCGAUGGUUCUUCAAAUUUCUGCCCUAUCAACUUUCGAUGGUAGGAAGUGGCCUACCAUGGUUUCAACGGGUAACGGGGAAAAGGGUCGAUUCCGGAGAGGGAGCCUGAGAACGGCUACCACAUCCAAGGAAGGCAGCAGGCGCGCAAUU